rnacentral:misc_RNA from 1 species
UCUCCGUUGGUGAACCAGCGGAGGGAUCAUUACAGGAUUCGCAAGACUCCCGUAACCACUGUGAACUUUACCUUUUGUUGCCUCGGCGGGUGCCGGACUCGCUCCAGCGCUCACGCCCGCCGGCGGCCCACAACUCAUUGUCUGAUUCUAAGCAUCUCCGAGCUAUACACAAACGAAUCAAAACUUUCAACAACGGAUCUCUUGGUUCUG